UACGGAGGGGGCUAGCGUUGUUCGGAAUUACUGGGCGUAAAGCGCACGUAGGCGGAUUGGAAAGUCAGGGGUGAAAUCCCGGGGCUCAACCCCGGAACUGCCUUUGAAACUCCCAGUCUAGAGGUCGAGAGAGGUGAGUGGAAUUCCGAGUGUAGAGGUGAAAUUCGUAGAUAUUCGGAGGAACACCAGUGGCGAAGGCGGCUCACUGGCUCGAUUCUGACGCUGAGGUGCGAAAGCGUGGGGAGCAAACAGG
rnacentral:rRNA from 1 species